rnacentral:misc_RNA from 1 species
UGAUAUGUUCUAAUAUAAAGCUAAGAGCGCAUGGAGAGUCAACCAGACUUUUGGUGGCCGGUUUUCUCAAGCAAAAUCAAUGAUAUUCAGCGCACCAGAACCAUGCUCUCCCCGCUGGCACGGGUAAGCAGUCCAGUUUCGAAAAAUGGACGCCCAUCGGGUGCACCCGCAGCCCGAUGGCAUGUCUAAAAUCACCCGAUUUCCUUACGCCGCCA